CUAUUUUUUACUCUUUUUAUAGUUCUAUGUGAGAAAUCGCUUUACAAGCAGAAGAAAAUAUUACUAUGUUGAACCUGCCCCUAAGAGAUCCAGCUAAUCAUUCUGUGUUGAAUUCAUAUUGAAUCCUUUCACCGCAUUCACCGCCAUUCACCGCAUAAUAGUCUCCUUCACCGCAUGAGAUAAGCAGGUCACAACAAUGUACUAUUGUCUUUAAUUUCACAAGAAUUUCAGCUCGUCGCUGGUGGCUUAGUGGUAGGUCGUUUGGCCUAUCUCGAUAAACGUUUGAGUUCAAAUCACGUUGAACUCAUAUUUUGUAGCGGACUCACAACAUUUUUUUCGCUUUAUUUAUUCUGGCUAUUUUUUAUUCUGGCUAUUUUUUAUUCUUUUUAUAUUUCUAUGUGAAAAAUCGCUUUACAAGCAGCAGAAAAUAUUGCUAUGUUGAACCUGACCCGAAGAAAACCAGCUAAUCAUUCUGUAUUGACUUCAUAUUGUAUCCUUUCACCGCAUUCACCGACUUCCUCACCGCAUGAGAUAAGCAGGUCACAACAAUCUACUAUUGUUUUUAAUUUCACAGGAAUUUCAGAGCGUCCGCUGGUGGCUUAGUGGUAGCUCGUUUGGCCUAUCCUGAUAAACCUUUGAGUUCAAAUCCCGUUGAACUCAUAUUUUGUAGCGGACUCACAAUAUUUUUUUCCCUUUAUAUAAUCUGGCUAUUAUUUAUUCUUUUUAUAUUUCUAUGUGAGAAAUCGCUUUACAAGCAGAAGAAAAUAUUGCUAUGUUGAACCUGGCCCGAAGAGAUCAGGCUAAUCAUUCUGUAUUGACUUCAUAUUGAAUCCUUUCUCCGCAUUCACCGCCCAAUAGAAUCUUCUUCACCACAUGAGAUAAGCAGGUCACAACAAUCUACUAUUGUUUUUAAUUCGUCCCCUGGUGGCUUAGUGGUAGCUCGUUUGGCCUGUCUCGACAAACCUUUGAGUUCGAAUCGCGUCGAGUUCAUAUUUUCAAUAUUUUUUCCUUUUAUUUCUAUCCAGCUGUUUUUAUUCUUUUUACAUCUUUAUAUGAGAAAUCGCUUUGCAAGUAGUUGGAAAUAUUGGUAUGUUGAGCCUGGCCCGAAGAGAUCCAAUCAUUUCUAACAGAUAAUUCCUUUCGAUAUUAUUUGAGGUGUUUUAUUUCAACUCGUGUAACUAGUUUUGGCUGUUUGAGAGAAGCUGCCAUAUAGUUUAAAGAGUCAAAUUGAGUGUGGUAUACCGUAUACUUCGGCUCAAAUACAACAUACAGUAUAAGCAAAUACUAGAAGUUACUAUCGCAAGGAAAGUGCUGCCACCAUGGCGUUCUAAGUUGCCUCGAACUGCCAAAAUUCUUCACCGCAAUUCACCGCCUAAUAAACUAUUUCACCGCAUAAGAUAAGCGCGUCACGACAAUUAGCUAUAGUGUUUAAUUUGACAUCAACUUUCGUUCUCCCUCGGUGGCUUAGUGGUAGGUCGUUUGGCCUAUCUCGAUAAACGUUUGAGUUCAAAUCCCGUUGAACUCAUAUUUUGUAGCGGACUCACAAUAUUUUUUUCCCUUUAUAUAAUCUGGCUAUUUUUUACUCUUUUUUAUAGUUCUAUGUCAGAAAUCGCUUUACAAGCAGAAGAAAAUAUUGCUAUGUUGAACCUGACCCGAAGAGAUCCAGCUAAUCAUUCUGUGUUGAUUUCAUAUUGAAUCCUUUCACCGCAUUCACCGCCAUUCACCGCAUAAUAGUCUCCCUCACCGCAUGAGAUAAGCAGGUCACAACAAUCUACUAUUGUCUUUAAUUUCACAAGAAUUUCAGCUCGUCCCUGGUGGCUUAGUGGUAGGUCGUUUGGCCUAUCUCGAUAAACGUUUGAGUUCAAAUCACGUUGAACUCAUAUUUUGUAACGGACUCACAAUAUUUUUUUCCCUGUAUACAAUCUGGCUAUUUUUUACUCUUUUUUAUAGUUCUAUGUCAGAAAUCGCCUUACAAGCAGAAGAAAAUAUUGCUAUGUUGAACCUGGCCCGAAGAGAUCCAGCUAAUCAUUCUGUGUUGAUUUCAUGUUGAAUCCUUUCACCGCAUUCACCGCCAUUCACCGCAUAAUAGUCUCCCUCACCGCAUGAGAUAAGCAGGUCACAACAAUCUACUAUUGUCUUUAAUUUCACAAGAAUUUCAGCUCGUCCCUGGUGGCUUAGUGGUAGGUCGUUUGGCCUAUCUCGAUAAACGUUUGAGUUCAAAUCACGUUGAACUCAUAUUUUGUAGCGGACUCACAACAUUUUUUCGCUUUAUUUAUUCUGGCUAUUUUUUAUUCUGGCUAUUUUUUAUU
rnacentral:lncRNA from 1 species